AAGAGAAAUAUCACACAUGAUCCUUUACUCCAAUUGUAGUUUCGAUAUAUAGUGGAGUACAGUUGUGUUUUAGGAGAAUAGAAAAAGAAGAUAAAACCCCAUAAAAUCAGCAAAACAAAUCUCUACUGCCACACCCACUCACUAACUCUAUCUCUCUCUUUCUUCACCUGCACCUACACAUUUCCCACCGCGCCGGCACUGAAUCCUACGUCGCCCCGCAAUUUGCCUUCCAUGCGCCGCUCCCCCCCUCCACGUAUCCCUCUUUUCCCCAACUCUCCCCUUUCCCCCGCGACUCGUGUCGCCGCCGUAUCGGAACCCUAUUGCCACCUGGUACGGUGGACGAUUUUUUUUUUCAAAUUUUGUUGUUAUAUGAUGUAAUUUUUUUAUAAUAUAAUACAUUUAUAUCGUUAGACUUUUAUCGAUAUUUAUUAUUAAUAAAAUCCAAAACUUUGUUGUA